AAUCAUGGAAUGACUCUCGGCAACGGAUAUCUAGGCUCUCGCAUCGAUGAAGAACGCAGCGAAAUGCGAUACGUGGUGUGAAUUGCAGAAUCCCGUGAACCAUCGAGUUUUUGAACGCAAGUUGCGCCCGAGGCCAUCUGGCCGAGGGCACGCCUGCCUGGGCGUCAGUU
rnacentral:rRNA from 8 species